UUUUUCGCCUGUUUAUCAAAAACAUCGCCUCUUGCAAAUAUAUAAGAGGUCCAGCCUGCCCAGUGACUUAGUUCAACGGCCGCGGUAUCCUAACCGUGCGAAGGUAGAGUAAUCACUUGUUCUUUAAAUGAGGACUAGUAUGAAUGGCACCACGAGGGUUCAACUGUCUCCUUUUUUUGAUCAGUGAAACUAAUCUCCCCGUGAAAAAGCGGGAAUUUACUUAUAAGACGAGAAGACCCUAUGGAGCUUUAAACAAAUUAACAUACGCUAUUACUUUAUUAUCUUAAGAGUUACAACAAAUAAUAUAGCAAUCUGAUUAAAAGUUUUCGAUUGGGGUGAUCACGGAGUAAAAAACAACCUCCACGUCGAACGGAUUAAAAUCCUGAACAAAAAGCUACAGCUUUAUGCACUAAUACAUUAACGCCUUUGACCCAUUUUUUGAUCAACGAACCAAGUUACCCUAGGGAUAACAGCGCAAUCUGCUUCGAGAGCCCCUAUCGACAAGCGGGUUUACGACCUCGAUGUUGGAUCAGGGUAUCCCAGUGGUGCAGCCGCUACUAAUGGUUCGUUUGUUCAACGAUUAAAACCCUACGUGAUCUGAGUUCAGACCGGAAAA
rnacentral:rRNA from 2 species